UGCACUCGCUAACAAACGACCCCUACUCAGGGCAAAUCAGACAAGGAAGAAUAGGCUUCAUCCUGCACACCAUUAAUUUAGCACAGAUCUUAUAUAGAGUAGUGCAUAACCUGAUCGGUUUGUAGUGGUCAGGCUCUGCUAUAUCCUACCUCUUUGGUAUCAAGACAAUAAAAGUUUACUUCCACAUCUCGGGCAUCUGUCUAGUGAUAAAAAAACUCCUGCACAGCUGCAACAACCUC
rnacentral:lncRNA from 1 species